rnacentral:rRNA from 1 species
CACGUAGGGUGCGAGCGUUGUCCGGAAUUAUUGGGCGUAAAGAGCUCGUAGGCGGUGUGUCGCGUCGGCCGUGAAAACCUGCAGCUUAACUGUGGGCUUGCGGUCGAUACGGGCAUCACUGGAGUUCGGCAGGGGAGACUGGAAUUCCUGGUGUAGCGGUGAAAUGCGCAGAUAUCGAGGAGGAACACCGGUGGCGAAGGCGGGUCUCUGGGCCGUAACUGACGCUGGAGGAGCGAAAGCCAUGGGGAGCGAACAGG